GUCACUGCGGCAGUGUUCUAGACUUGACCUGUCGUGGGUGAGGUGCUCUCUUCGGGAUUAAACUGCUAGCUGCCGGUGCGGAAAUGUGUAGGUCUCUGGCGGGAAGGAACUGAAGAUGCUUCAUUAUUUGGACCAGAAGCAGAUCAAGGAAUGAUUAAUUCAAUGCGGUUAUCGUGCUGCUAGUCGAUCUCAAUUCGCAUUCAUAUGGUGUUUUCACUUCGUCGUGGAUUGUUGUACUAUUUCCUCUCCUGUUGUUUUGGUUGUGGAUUUUAAAUACUGCAUAUUCAUGCCUUGAAUUGCCUUUUAGUUUAAAGUGUUAAGAGUUAAGAUUUAGGUCAGAAAGAUUUCGUCCCGAAGAAUGUUACCCUGCCGACUUGAUCUAUUUUCUUUACUCUAAGUUGUAAUUGUAAAUAGACCUCUCACUACUUGUUCAAUAAAGCAAUUAAAUUAUCAAUUUAA